ACGGAGAUUCCCGACAAAAAGAAUAUUUCACGACCAAAUGAAUAUUCCCCGACAAUAAUGAAUAUUUUAUAACCACUUGCUUAUUUUGUAAACUUUGCACAUUUCACCCAUAACCAAAGAAUUAUAUCAAAUUAACCCUUAUUAAUUUAGAAUAAUGAAUAAAGGAAAAUUCAAUUUUAUUUAUAAUAAGUUGGGGUCUUACA
rnacentral:lncRNA from 1 species